rnacentral:rRNA from 1 species
AUUGAACGCUGGCGGCAUGCCUUACACAUGCAAGUCGAACGGUAACAGGUCUUCGGAUGCUGACGAGUGGCGAACGGGUGAGUAAUGUAUCGGAACGUGCCCAGUUGUGGGGGAUAACUACUCGAAAGAGUGGCUAAUACCGCAUACGACCUGAGGGUGAAAGCGGGGGAUCGCAAGACCUCGCGCAAUUGGAGCGGCCGAUAUCAGAUUAGGUAGUUGGUGGGGUAAAGGCUCACCAAGCCAACGAUCUAUAGCUGGUCUGAGAGGACGACCAGCAACGCUGGGACUGAGACACGGCCCAGACUCCUACGGGAGGCAGCAGUGGGGAAUUUUGGACAAUGGACGCAAGUCUGAUCCAGCCAUGCCGCGUGCGGGAAGAAGGCCUUCGGGUUGUAAACCGCCUUUGUCAGGGAAGAAAAGGGCGACUCUAAUACAGUUGCCUCAUGACGGUACCUGAAGAAUAAGCACCGGCUAACUACGUGCCAGCAGCCGCGGUAA